GUCUAUGGCCAUGCCACCCUGAACAAGCCCAGUCCUGUCUGAUCUUGAAAACUAAGCAGAGUCAGGCCUGGUUAGUGCUUGGAUGGGAGACCACCUAGGAAGACCAGGUGCAGUAGGCG
ensembl:rRNA 5S_rRNA 5S ribosomal RNA